AGAGUUUGAUCCUGGCUCAGGAUGAACGCUGGCGGCGUGCCUAACACAUGCAAGUCGAGCGAAGCACUUUACUUGGAUUUCUUCGGAAUGACGAGUGAUUUGACUGAGCGGCGGACGGGUGAGUAACGCGUGGGUAACCUGCCUCACACAGGGGGAUAACAGUUAGAAAUGACUGCUAAUACCGCAUAAGACCCCAGCACCGCAUGGUGCAGUGGUAAAAACUCCGGUGGUGUGAGAUGGACCCGCGUCUGAUUAGGUAGUUGGUGAGGUAACGGCUCACCAAGCCGACGAUCAGUAGCCGGCCUGAGAGGGUGGACGGCCACAUUGGGACUGAGACACGGCCCAAACUCCUACGGGAGGCAGCAGUGGGGAAUAUUGCACAAUGGGGGAAACCCUGAUGCAGCGACGCCGCGUGAGCGAAGAAGUAUUUCGGUAUGUAAAGCUCUAUCAGCAGGGAAGAAACUGACGGUACCUGACUAAGAAGCACCGGCUAAAUACGUGCCAGCAGCCGCGGUAAUACGUAUGGUGCAAGCGUUAUCCGGAUUUACUGGGUGUAAAGGGAGCGUAGACGGAUAGGUAAGUCUGGAGUGAAAACCCGGGGCUCAACCCCGGGACUGCUUUGGAAACUGUUUAUCUAGAGUGCUGGAGAGGUAAGUGGAAUUCCUAGUGUAGCGGUGAAAUGCGUAGAUAUUAGGAGGAACACCAGUGGCGAAGGCGGCUUACUGGACAGUAACUGACGUUGAGGCUCGAAAGCGUGGGGAGCAAACAGGAUUAGAUACCCUGGUAGUCCACGCCGUAAACGAUG
rnacentral:rRNA from 1 species